ensembl:lncRNA
ACACCAUAAGCACCACAGUGAUCCAAACACUCUGCACUCUUUUACCGGAUUUAAAAUGAUGGCUAUUAAGUCUGCCAUUCCAUCCUCGGUCUGUCUGCAUCAGGUGACGAGGCUGAUUGUUCUGGCUGUAUUGUUACUGAACUGCACACUGGGCGUCGCAUGGUCUGACGAAAAGGAGGUAACAUGCUGCAAGAAAGUUGGUGCCUGUGUUCUCAAGACAGAAAUCACAGACUGCAUAAUUCACCCUGAGACCGACAGAUGCCGUGCCGCUGUCAUAUUUACCACCCAAGGAACAACGUACUGCUGUGGGCCACUUGCUAAACGGGCUAAAAUGAAAGUGCAACAAUUAGCCCGGGAAGGGAGGCCCUGUAGGACCAGCACAACCGCAUCAGGAGAGAAACAAGGAAAGAAAAGUCCUCUGUGAACCCUUGGAUGUUUUAUAAUAGAUUGUUUCACCUGCCACCUGUUAAUGGUUCUAUCACUGUUUUACAUUUCUUACAUUACUUAUUCUAUUUAUUUAUUGACUGAUUCAAAUACAUUUAUGGAAUAAUUUAAAAUAAUGAUAACCUACUAUAAGUAUAGUUAGUAUUCCUAUUAGUAUUUAGCUUAGCUCAUUAUUUUGCUAUGAAUUCUAAUUUACUACGCUGGUUAUUGUUGAUACUGUUGUGCUGUACCAUUAAAGACCUAUCAAUCCAAAAUGAUUUACGGAUGUGUUAUCUCUCUAUUUUUGUGUCUGCAAUUUUAUAGAACAAUUUAGUUUUGCUGUUGAA